rnacentral:rRNA from 1 species
CCUACGGGUGGCAGCAGUGAGGAAUAUUGGUCAAUGGCCGGAAGGCUGAACCAGCCAUGCCGCGUGAAGGUCAGUGCCCUAUGGGCGUUAAACUUCUUUUGUGCGGGAGCAAUAAUGGUCACGUGUGGCCAGACGAGAGUACCGUACGAAUAAGCAUCGGCUAACUCCGUGCCAGCAGCCGCGGUAAUAAGGGGGAUGCAAGCGUUAUCCGGGUUUAUUGGGUUUAAAGGGUGCGUAGGCUGGGAGGUAAGUCAGCGGUGAAAUGCCUCCGCUCAACGGGGGGAAGUGCCAUUGAUACUGCCUUGCUUGAAUGCGGAUGCCGUGGGAGGAAUGUGUGGUGUAGCGGUGAAAUGCAUAGAUAUCACACAGAACACCGAUUGCGAAGGCAUCUCACGAAUCCGCGAUUGACGCUGAUGCACGAAAGCGUGGGUAUCAAACAGGAUUAGAUACCCGGGUAGUC